rnacentral:rRNA from 1 species
UACGGAGGGCGCAAGCGUUAUCCGGAUUUACUGGGCGUAAAGGGUGCGCAGGCGGUUAUGUGAGUCAGUGGUGAAAUCUCUAGGCUUAACCUGGAAAUUGCCGUUGAUACUAUAUAUCUUGAAUGCUGUGGAGGUAAGCGGAAUAUGUCAUGUAGCGGUGAAAUGCUUAGAUAUGACAUAGAACACCUAUUGCGAAGGCAGCUUACUACGCAGAUAUUGACGCUCAUGCACGAAAGCGUGGGGAUCAAACAGG